CGCGCCCGGCGAGGACCCGGCCUCGCGCUCCGCCAGCGCCCGCCUGAGCCGCCCGAGCCGCUCUCCGCCCGCCGGAGCCGCCACUGCUGCCGCGAGGUCCCGUCGGGGGUGCGCCGGCCCGGAGGCAGGGGCGUCCGGCACGAUUCCGGUCUGGUCACGUUGGAGACUGGUCAUUUUCUAGAGGGAAAGGAGAAGCCCAUGAAAGGAUGGUGAAUUCUCUUUGAGUUUCAGUUGCCAGAAUAAAAGGGAGUGUGGAAAGUCAUCCAUGGUCACGGGAGCCAGCCCACGAAGGAGCAGGUGGCCUGCUCUGUGGAGCCCAGCGGAGUGCAGGGUGCACUGGUGAUUCCACAGAGGAGGAGCCUGGCCCAGAGCAUCCAGUCUGGCUCUGCGCACCUAGCAACCUCUGAGUAGCUGCCCCGAAGGGAGGUUUGCGUUUCUGAUUUCCCUUCCAGCUUCUCCCCGCCCCCCCGCACCCCAGCUGUGGUUGGCAUGCCUUUGCGUGUCAGGCUGCGUGGAUCCUCUCCAGCAUCAGCCUCUGUCGCCUCUCACCCUGUCAUCCCGUGCCCCUGCGCGUGCCCAGCCCACAUCCCAGCGUGCCCGCCCGCUCCUGCUCCGGCCCUGGCUCCCCAUCACAUCAGGGCUUCACCCCUCCCACUUUUACCCAUCUCGGCCCUCCCUGCGGUGCCCUUGCCAAUGCCACGCCUGUCUCUUGGCCUCUCCCUCCUCCGCCUGCAGGCCCCUGGCUUCCCUGGCAUCCCCCUCCUGCCUCUGACCCUGGGCAGGCUGUUGGUGCAGCCAGCCCAGAAGGGACCACGCAUGCAGCCCUCUCCCUCCCUCCCGCUCUGCACACUGGCCCAGAUCUGCACAGAAUCCGGUCACGUGCCUAACACAGCCCGAACUUUUCACAGUGUGGAUCUUUGGCCGUAGCCAGGGCUCAGGCCCACAGGCUCAGCGUGGCAUCCUGGGCCUGUCGGAUGCAGGUUCCCCCCUCCGACCGCUGGGUGCCGAGUUCCAGGCCUGUGUGAUUACUGCUGGCUCCGCCCCACGGCUCACACUCACUGUUCUUGUCCGGUACCUCUGCCUUCCUGAAGACCCCGAGAGGGCAAGAGAGCCUGUAGGUGGAAGCUCCUGAAUGCUGCUUCUGCAUACUCCAGGCUGUUUGAUGAGCAGGCAGGGUAACCCAGGGCCUGGCCUGCACCAGGCCGUGAUCCUCCCCAGCGCCACAAAGCAGAGCAAAACAAGCCACCCUCAGUGCACAGUGCUGCCCGCAGCCCUUUCGGGGACAGUCCCUCGGCUCAGCUCCAGCCUUCGGCCCAAGGUGCAGGCUCUCAAGAGGUUCUAGACUCCUUGUCAUCCAGAUCCAGCAGCAUGUGUCCUAGAAGGGAAGUACGGGACCUCUAGAGAUCUGAACCCACUUUGCUCGAGUGCUUCUUCACCCUAGACGGAGGGCACCUGGGAGGGUGACCCCCGAGGGGUCUUGCUUUGGCUUCUCCGAGGGGCAGUGGUGGAGUGGGAUGAACGUAGUGGGAGCAGGUGUGGCUGAGUGUGCGGUGUGGGCUGCAGGGCAGGGUGAGCAGCGGUGCUCCCUUCCCUCUACCUCUGAACCCAGGUGACAGGAGCACCUCCCCCUUGGAGUGGGGAAACUGCCAGUGGCUGCAGAACACAGCCGGAGAACAGGGCCCUCCGAUGCCUCUGCCCGUCAGGCCUGGCUGCAUGCUGGGGAGGGGAGUGUGCCUGUCGGUGGCAUCUGCAUUCCCAGGUGAGGGGCAACCUCCACUGAGGCCUGACCAGAAGAAACAGAACUGCAGACCCGGACCCUGGGGUCUGGGGUCAACAUGGGGAGUGGCUCAACACAGUUCCAGCCCUGGAGUUGUUUACAAUAUGUUAUUUGAAAUUUUAACACGAUCAGAGUUAAAUCACGACUAUUAAACACUCCCUUGAUCCAGGUACUUUGUGUCCCUUUAUUUUGAGAUGUGCCUAGGCUCACCGUGUCUGGUAGGGGGGUAGACGGGGUUUGCUCCCCUGGGAAGAGCUGCCUGUUACUAGGGCUGGUGUCAGUAGAAGCGUCCAGGGUCACAAGUGUGCUCCCGUGGGAACAGGGCACUGGAAAUCUGCUGCACCUGGCAAGACGGGCACUACAGCCCAGGACAGUGCCAGCUGAAAUGCAAUCCUCUGUGUGGCCGAGAGCUGCUGUCAAAAACAGAAAAGCUGGCUCUGAUUCUCUGAAUCCAAAUCCAGCCCAGUGAUCCCAGAGCCAGCUGCUCGGGCCCCUAAGGUGAGGUCUCAGGGCCCAGGCUGACCUCUUGUGUCCUCAUGGAGCCUACCAAGCCCUUGUGGUUCACUCGUUAACUUUGAUGAGAGGAAAUCUCUGCAAAAUCCUGUGUACGGUCCCAGAGACAUAUUUUAUCAUCAUGAUAAAGUAUCGUGUCGAUGUAAUCACAAGGCUUCCUAAGCUGUCUUCAUCAAGGGUAAGACAACCAGCAGUUAGCAGGUACCUGUAUUUAGCAAGUUAAACAGUCUUUGGUCUUGGGGCAGGGGAGAAAAUUCAAUGGUAGAGCAUGUACUGAGCAUGCAUAAGGCCUGAGUUCAGUGCUCAGCAAAAAUAGAAGUCUUCACUCUCAAGGAAUUUAUAUCACAUGCAUGUGUCUGCACGUGCCCCUCACCACAUUCCUGUUCUUUGAGCUUAAAAACAGAAGGAUGAAUGAUCAUAUUCAUGGUAUGGCUGAAAAAUACAGUGAAUGUUUAAUUUUUUUAUAAGUUAUUAUAUGAAAGACAUUUCCAUGACUCCCCCUGGUUUCAAACAUACUUAUCUUCUUACCUCUUUCUGAAGCAGUUGUGGAAGUCCUCUUCCGUGAAAGUCUUCAGCUGCACUGUCUUGGCUGCCUGGAUGUCCUUAAUUAACGCAAAACAUUUUCCUUUCAUGGUCAUUUUGACUUUGUUGGAGAGCCAGAAGUUGUAUGGUGCCGAUCCAAUGAAUAACAUAGGUGAGGACACACUGUAAUGAUUUUAUGAGCCUGCUUUUUUGUUGGAUGGCACCCCACAGCAGCAGUCAUUGUAUUUUUGAUCAUACCUUGUAAAGACACUCACAAAAGAGGACUUCUAGAACUCCUUCGAGAAGUGACAAGAAUGAUGGAAUGAGUGUGUUCAAAGCAAUUCGUGUGAGGGCUUAAUGGCAAUGUGUCUUUUACUGUAAUGAAUGUUAGAACAUUCACCAUAUUUGUUGAUCACACUGUGUAUGUUUAAGUGACACAAACACAGCAGCAGGACAUGGGUGACUACUUUACUACAACUGACAAGUCUUUGGUAUAACAAACCCCUUGGACCAAGGGGCUAAACGCCCACUAGAAUGGAGGAAGGGGCCUGAAUGUUUCAUUGGAAGGUGGAUGCCCAUGAGAAAAAUCACUACAACUUGAACAGCUGAGGGUAAGGAGAUAGGAUGGUUUGACGGGCCGGAAAUGGCAGCUUGCUGUGGUGGGGCUGGUUGGAGAGCUAUGUGGCCCUGGAGGUGCGAGAGGCCUGCUGUGUGUGGGAGUGACUCCUAGCAGAUGGGAGGGCUGGUUUCUGGGGAUCAUAGUCUUCCAAAGUCAGAAUCGGGGUCAUGCAUGUGACCUGGGCUCUUUGGCCUGAUUGCUACAAAAAGGCAUGUGGUAGAGAGCAUGAUCCUCACCCUCCCCAAAGACAUCCAUGUCCUAACCCACAAAAACUGGAUGUAUUAGGUUACUCGGCAAGAAGCGGUUAAGGUUGCUCAUCCCAUGUCCUUGACAUGGGAGGACCAUCCUGGGUUUUCCACUGGGACCAGUGCAAUCAGUCAGAGUGCUACAGGAAAAUGAAGAAGACGGUCAGGAGAGCGCGGGAUGGAUGUGAUGCCAGAGUCUGUGGCCACUGCUGCCUGGAAGUUGCAUGAGCCGAGGAGUGCAGGAGGCCCCUGGAACCGGACAGGGCAAGAGAAUGGAUUCUUCCCUGGAGGUCCAAGAGAAAUGUGAUCUUGCCAGCACCUUUAUUUUUAGUCCAGCAAGACCCAUUUCAGACUUAAAUUUUGAGAACUAUCAUCAUUGUAUGUUGUUUUAAGCCAAGAAAUGUGUAGUGAUUCGUUCCAGCAAGCCAUAGUAAACAAUGCAAUGUGGAAAUCUGUCUCUAUUUUGGAAACACAAAACCCUCUUAAUUAUUUACAUAAUGCAAUUUGGAAAUUUAAGGAAUGUAAAUAAGUCAAGGGUGAAUCUUGUCAAAAUUAAUUCAGGUUUUUCUGAGUUAAUUUAUUUUGCCAGAAUUGGGGCAGGAACACUGUUUCUCCACCUUUAUAUCUUCACUGCCUAGAUCAGUGCCUGACUCAUUCAGCUUCAGAUGAAUGAAUCUCUCUUAACUAAAUGCAUGAAAAAACAAAAGAAUCUACUUUUCAAAGAAAUUCAUUUUAUGCAAGAAUGUGUCCUUAUUAUUAGAAAUGUUGAAGUCAGGCCUUUGUAAACAACUAAUAACAUAUUUCGCGUUUUCCUUCAGAGAAGAGAGUCUUGGUGGGAAGCCUAAGUUGGAUUAAGAAAAAGUCAUUGUCACAGGUCGAGCAACUCUAAUCUGAAAAGUAAGAUCCCAGGUGCUCCACAAUCUGAACUUUCUGAACAUCAGCACAGUACCGCAUGAGGUGAAUUCUACACCUGGCCUCAUGAGCUGAUGGGUCAGAGGCAAAACACAGACACGUUGGAAGCGCUGUGUACAGUUACCUUCAGGCUGUGCACAUCUGGGUGUGUCAAGCAUAAAAUGAAUUUGGGGUCCCCUCCCCAGGAUAUGUUGUAAUAUAUGUGCAAAUACAAAAAAUCUGAAGAAAUUAAAAAUCUGAAAUAGUUCAGAACAUUGCAGAUAAAGGGAUAUGUGAUGAUUAAUCAUAAUUACCGAGUUGAUUGGAAAGGGAGAUACCUAGGACAUUAGGGAAGCACCCUUGGGGUGUGUCUGUGAGGGUGGUUCCAGAGAUGACUGGCAUGUAGGGCAGCAAAUUGAUGGGAGAUACCUGCCAGUGAAUGUUGGGCUCCAUCCAAUAGGGUGGGACCCCGACGGAGCAGAGGGUGGAAGCCCACAGCAGGCGCUGGCUCUCCGCUCCUCCGCUCCCAGCUGCCCUGAGGGGAGCAGCUCUGCCCUGCCAGUGAUAUUCUGCCUCACCACAGGCCCUGGAAACUGGAGCCAGCCAACCAGGGACUGAAACCUCUAGGACCAGGCGUGAAAGAAAGCCUCUCCCAGGUGUUUUGGUCACAGCAGUGAAAAGCCAACACAGGACACUCAACCCAGACUUCCAGGAGGUCUAAGAACUCCUCAGUGUCUCCACAUGGUUGAAGUAUUAAUGGGUCCUUUGCUUGCUUAAUAAAAGUGCUACAAUAUGUAGCACAUUGGAACCUCAAAUUGAUGGAAAAAAGG
ensembl:lncRNA